rnacentral:rRNA from 1 species
UGGCCUCAUUCCGAUAAGAGUACCCGCUAGACUUAAGCAUAUUAAUCAGCGGAGGAAAAGAAACUAACAAGGAUUCCCUCAGUAACUGCGAGUGAACCGGGAUGAGCUCAAUGUGUGAAUCCGGUAUGCUUGUUCAUGCCCGGAGUUGUGCACUAUGGACAUGCUGUCUGCUUCAAUGGACCACCCAAGUCGGAUGAAAAGCCGCGCCUGAGAAGGUAAUAGCCCUGUCUAUGGUGGACUCCGGUUGCUGCAUUACGACGUGUGCUCCUUGAGUCGUGUAGUUUUGUAAUGCUGCGCUAAUAUGGGAGGUAGUACCCUUCCAAAGCUAAAUACCAUGACGUGACCGAUAGCACACAAGUACCGUGAGGGAAAGGUGAAAAGGAUCUCUUAUGCAGACCUUGAAACAGACGUGAAAGUGCUGCGGGGAAAAGGGCUGUCAAG